CAGUAGCCACGGUAAUACAGAGGGUGCGAGCGUUAAUCGGAUUUACUGGGCGUAAAGCGUGCGUAGGCGGCUUCUUAAGUCGGAUGUGAAAUCCCUGAGCUUAACUUAGGAAUUGCAUUCGAUACUGGGAAGCUAGAGUAUGGGAGAGGAUGGUAGAAUUCCAGGUGUAGCGGUGAAAUGCGUAGAGAUCUGGAGGAAUACCGAUGGCGGAGGCAGCCAUCUGGCCUAAUACUGGCGCUGAGGUACGAAAGCAUGGGGAGCAAACAGGAUUAGAUACCCCUGUAGUCCCUGUCUCUUAUAU
rnacentral:rRNA from 1 species